rnacentral:tRNA from 1 species
AGCAAGAUGGCCGAGAUUAGGCAGAAGAUUGUAGCUCUUCCAACGGAAUACUUCCUCUUGUUA